rnacentral:rRNA from 1 species
AGAGUUUGAUCCUGGCUCAGGACGAACGCUGGCGGCGGGCUUAACACAUGCAAGUCGAACGAGAAGCUCCGGGCUUGCCCGGAGUGGAAAGUGGCGCACGGGUGAGUAACGCGUAGGCAAUCUACCCUCAGCAGGGGAACAACCAGCGGAAACGCUGGCUAAUACCCCAUGAUGUCCCUUGGUCGCAUGACCUUGGGAUCAAAGUUCAGGCGGCUGAGGAUGAGCCUGCGUUAGAUUAGCUAGUUGGUGGGGUAACUGCCCACCAAGGCAACGAUCUAUAGCGGGUCUGAGAGGAUGAUCCGUCACACUGGCACUGAGACACGGACCAGACUCCUACGGGAGGCAGCAGUAAGGAAUAUUGGGCAAUGGACGAAAGUCUGACCCAGCCAUGCCGCGUGCAGGAUGACAGCACUCCGGGGCGUAAACUGCUUUUAUAUGGGAAGAACACCCCGCACUGUUGCGGGGGCUGACGGUACCAUACGAAUAAGGAUCGGCUAACUCCGUGCCAGCAGCCGCGGUAAUACGGAGGGUGCAAGCGUUGUUCGGAAUCACUGGGCGUAAAGGGCGCGUAGGCGGCCAAGCAAGUCAGAUGUGAAAGCCCACGGCUCAACCGUGGAACUGCCUUUGAUACUGCAGUUCUUGAGUCUCGGAGGGGUUGCUGGAAUUCGUGGUGUAGCGGUGAAAUGCGUAGAUAUCACGAGGAACACCAGAGGCGUAGGCGGGCAACUGGACGAGUACUGACGCUGAGGCACGAAAGCGUGGGGAGCAAACAGGAUUAGAUACCCUGGUAGUCCACGCUGUAAACGAUGGAUGCUCGAUGUUGCCCCGUUUCAGGGGCAGUGCCUAAGCUAACGCGUUAAGCAUCCCACCUGGGGAGUACGCUCGCAAGAGUGAAACUCAAAGGAAUUGACGGGGGCCCGCACAAGCGGUGGAGCAUGUGGCUUAAUUCGAUGCAACGCGAAGAACCUUACCCAGGCUCGAACACUACCGGACAGCCCCCGAAAAGGGGCCUCCUUCGGGCUGGUAGUGAGGUGCUGCAUGGCUGUCGUCAGUUCGUGUCGUGAGAUGUUGGGUUAAUUCCCGCAACGAACGCAACCCCUAUCGCUAGUUACCAGCGGGUAAUGCCGGGGACUUUAGCGAGACUGCCUGCGCAAGCAGUGAGGAAGGUGGGGACGACGUCAAGUCAUCAUGGCCCUUACGCCUGGGGCUACACACGUGUUACAAUGGCCGGUACAAAGGGUUGCCAACUCGCGAGAGUAGCGAAUCCCAAAAAGCCGGUCUCAGUUCGGAUCGGAGUCUGCAACUCGACUCCGUGAAGCCGGAAUCGCUAGUAAUCGCGUAUCAGCUACGACGCGGUGAAUACGUUCCCGGGCCUUGUACACACCGCCCGUCAAGCCAUGGAAGUUGAGGGUACCCGAAGUCCGUGACCCAACCUUAGGGAGGGAGCGGCCGAAGGUAAACUCAGUGACUGGGGCUAGAUCGUAACAAGGUA